GCUCUUCCGGGCAUGGCGCUACUCUGCUGUCCGGUGGUGGAUGUAGGCGUGAGGACGCUUGUCUCACGAAGCUCGUAGUAGGUAUGGGGUCCUCGCCUCAUCCUCGAGAAGCGAUCGCGCGGUAGAUGUAAAAUGUGACCAAUGCGUAAAGGAGAAGGGCACGGCGCUGCGAAAGUUUAGGGCCGAGGAGAUGGCUCCCCGGGCCAAGGCGCUGGCCGCGGAGCCUCAACAUCGUGGGUUCGAUCCUGGGACCCACUUGGAGAGAUCCGACUUCCUCAACACGUCCCCUGACUUCACUACGAUCUCAGUCGUGUACGCGCCACCCACAUUCAAAACCGCAAAGGACAGACUUAGAAUACAAGCCGAAUACUGAUGGAUGAAAAGUGGGAAUUGUUCAGGGAGUAACGUCCUUUGUGAAGAAAGAGCCAGUGAAGAGGGAUAGUGGGAAGAAAAAAAAAUUCAAAUAUGGGGAAGGGGUAUGGAAACGUGAAGACUGGAGAAUUGGCGCAACCUGGUUGCAUCUUCCCGUUACUCCCACGUGUUUUUCUUUUGAUGGUUUGUUUUCCGACCUGUGUGUUAAUGAUAUAACUGCUUAAUAUUCAGCUCUGUAAGUUCCUGUGCCGUC
rnacentral:lncRNA from 1 species